AUACGGAGGGUGCGAGCGUUGUUCGGAAUUAUUGGGCGUAAAGAGCAUGUAGGCGGUCUGUUAAGUCUGGUGUGAAAGCCCGGGGCUCAACCCCGGAAGUGCAUUGGAUACUGGCAGACUUGAGUAUGGGAGAGGAAAGCGGAAUUCCGAGUGUAGGAGUGAAAUCCGUAGAUAUUCGGAGGAACACCAGUGGCGAAGGCGGCUUUCUGGACCAAUACUGACGCUGAGAUGCGAAAGCGUGGGGAGCGAACAGAAUUAGAAACCCUAGUAGUCC
rnacentral:rRNA from 1 species